rnacentral:lncRNA from 1 species
UUGAAAUUAAAGACAAUCAUCAACUCAUGUAUCAGGUUUAAUCAUCUAAGUUAGACUCUUUUGAUAUUUCUUUUUUAUUAUAAUAUCAUUUCUUUGGCUGACCAGAAAAAAGCAAAACAAAAGAAAAUUAGAAAAGCAAAAGUUUGGACUGAAUAGGAUCGGAGGAGAUGCAUUAUAAUAAUAGAGAUCUCUUGAGCUCCAUUUGAGCGUUCAGAGAUAGCAACUCGGAAACCAUUAUAUUACAUAUUUAAUUUAUUAUAGACCAUUAAUUUUGAGCUGCAGGCUACAGCUCUAGAUUAUUUAUUGGUGGGAUAAUAUAUAGCUACACACAGUAGAUGAUACUGUAAAGCAUGCAUGCAUCAAAAACAGAUAAUUAACGGUAGUAGUUCAUGGUGGAAGAGUUAAAACCACCCUUGAUAAAGCUUCCAUUUCCAUUCCCAUUGAAAGUACCACUGUUAUUUAUCGUGUGACCACCAUAGUAGUUGGCAGUGCUAUAACUAUUACGAUUGCCAGAGUUUGCACCACUGUUGAUCGUUGCACCAGCGAAAUUCUGGUUCCCGUUGCCAUGGUUAUUGAAUGAGUUUAUAGUACCAUGAUUCGAUCGACCUGACAUUCUGAUCUUAGUCUUAAAUUUCGCUCUUUAUAUAAUUGUUUUGGUAUUGGAUAUAUAGCCUUA